ACGAACGCUGGCGGCGUGCCUAAUACAUGCAAGUCGAGCGGACGAAUCGAAAGCUUGCUUUUGAUUCGUUAGCGGCGGACGGGUGAGUAACACGUGGGCAACCUGCCCUGUAGACGGGGAUAACACCGAGAAAUCGGUGCUAAUACCGGAUAACACGAAAUGUCGCAUGACGUUUCGUUGAAAGACGGCGCAAGCUGUCGCUACAGGAUGGGCCCGCGGCGCAUUAGCUAGUUGGUGAGGUAACGGCUCACCAAGGCGACGAUGCGUAGCCGACCUGAGAGGGUGGUCGGCCACACUGGGACUGAGACACGGCCCAGACUCCUACGGGAGGCAGCAGUAGGGAAUCUUCCGCAAUGGACGAAAGUCUGACGGAGCAACGCCGCGUGAGCGAAGAAGGCCUUCGGGUCGUAAAGCUCUGUUGUUAGGGAAGAACAAGUAACGCAGUAACUGGCGUUACCGUGACGGUACCUAACGAGAAAGCCACGGCUAACUACGUG
rnacentral:rRNA from 1 species